UGCAGUUGAGGAUGAAGAUUUGUAUCUUGCUGAUAUGAUAUAUGUGAUUAUUCAUACAUUAUCACCAUCUUUCGGCUGAGACUGCA